rnacentral:tRNA from 1 species
AAAGGGAGACCUAAUUCGGGUAUAAGACGAAAAAAAAGUAGUCCCUACCAAGAAUCAAUCCCAAAAGGUCGGAACGAGGUAUGAGGCUUUCAAACUAGGUUCUGGGUUCAUAAAAGACCUGAAUCAGGAACAAGGGCUAUUAGCUCAGGUGGUUAGAGCGCACCCCUGAUAAGGGUGAGGUCCCUGGUUCGAGUCCAGGAUGGCCCACCUGCACAGGUGGCAAAAACAAAAGAAGCGAGGAAUCAGCACCUUAUCUUAUAUACAUAUAUAAGAGAGAAUGCUGGCUCUGAGUACAGAGUCCAGAGGAACCUUGAAAACUGCAUAGAGCUAGGUGAAAAAGCCAAAAAAGAAGACCGCAAG